UACGGAGGGAGCUAGCGUUGUUCGGAAUUACUGGGCGUAAAGCGCACGUAGGCGGCUUUGUAAGUUAGAGGUGAAAGCCCGGGGCUCAACUCCAGAACUGCCUUUAAGACUGCAUCGCUUGAAUCCAGGAGAGGUGAGUGGAAUUCCGAGUGUAGAGGUGAAAUUCGUAGAUAUUCGGAAGAACACCAGUGGCGAAGGCGGCUCACUGGACUGGUAUUGACGCUGAGGUGCGAAAGCGUGGGGAGCAAACAGG
rnacentral:rRNA from 1 species